AUUGAACGCUGGCGGCAGGCCUAACACAUGCAAGUCGAGCGGUAGAGAGAAGCUUGCUUCUCUUGAGAGCGGCGGACGGGUGAGUAAUGCCUAGGAAUCUGCCUGGUAGUGGGGGAUAACGUUCGGAAACGGACGCUAAUACCGCAUACGUCCGACGGGAGAAAGCAGGGGACCUUCGGGCCUUGCGCUAUCAGAUGAGCCUAGGUCGGAUUAGCUAGUUGGUGGGGUAAUGGCUCACCAAGGCGACGAUCCGUAACUGGUCUGAGAGGAUGAUCAGUCACACUGGAACUGAGACACGGUCCAGACUCCUACGGGAGGCAGCAGUGGGGAAUAUUGGACAAUGGGCGAAAGCCUGACCCAGCCAUGCCGCGUGUGUGAAGAAGGUCUUCGGAUUGUAAAGCACUUUAAGUUGGGAGGAAGGGUUGUAGAUUAAUACUCUGCAAUUUUGACGUUACCGACAGAAUAAGCACCGGCUAACUCUGUGCCAGCAGCCGCCGUAAAAC
rnacentral:rRNA from 1 species